AAACCAUGUUGUGGGCAUGAACUAAUGAGAUCCUUGAACCGCUUACAACAUAGGAAGAAUGUUUCAUCUUCCUUUUGGUCAAAGUUCAUGAUCGACUUCCUGAUGGU